CCCCGAUGAGGAAGAAUUCCCAUAAAAUUGAUAGGAAGUGCCGUAUGACACGUCCAAAUGCAGAGCAGGUUA